UACGUAGGGGGCGAGCGUUGUCCGGAUUUAUUGGGCGUAAAGAGCGUGUAGGCGGUUUGUCGCGUCUGCUGUGAAAUUUCGGGGCUCAACCCCGAACUUGCAGUGGGUACGGGCAGACUAGAGUGUGGUAGGGGAGACUGGAAUUCCUGGUGUAGCGGUGAAAUGCGCAGAUAUCAGGAGGAACACCGAUGGCGAAGGCAGGUCUCUGGGCCAUAACUGACGCUGAGAAGCGAAAGCAUGGGGAGCGAACAGG
rnacentral:rRNA from 1 species